rnacentral:lncRNA from 1 species
GAUCCAAAGCUAAGGAGACGUCAGCAGAUAAGCAAACUCAAUAGACUUGUGAGUAAAUAUUUCCCUACGAGGAUUUCAGCACUUUCUGUCCCGCUGUGGGGUUUUGUGGUUGUUCUUUUUUGUUUCUCUCUCCCUCUCUCUCUUUUUUUUUUUAAAUUGAGCGAAGAGCACGCAGAUUUUACCGCUUUGUUAAAAUUCGCUGAUAGUACUAAAACUGAAAAGUCUCCUGAUCAUAGUGGCUUGUUCUUUGUGCUUAAUACUACGAUAUAGACAUCUCAGAACGAAAUUAGAAAUUGACAGUAAACCUGAUUCUGUAUUUAUAAAUGCUUUUCAAUCGCUGUAAAAAUUUUCCACGUACACGGUAAAUAAAGAAAAAUACAAAUUUCCGACAUGUGUUAGAACCACUCCUUUACUGGGACAGAAUCCGAGGUAAACUUUCUCACAAAUAAUACUUGUAGAAAACCCACCUUCAAACAAAUUUAAACAAAGAAAAUAUAUAAGAUAAAUUCUCCAUGUCCGCACUUACCUCCUAAAGAAGAGUUUCUAAAACUCGCAAUAAGCUGUCAAUCUCUUAUUACUAAAAUCCAAAAUUCUAAAUAUUUUUAGAGAAGAAUCAUGCAUCACGGAUUCCAACUGGAAAAUGUGAGCAAUUUGAAACAACAGUUUCGAGAACCUACUUAGUGUUGUUUACUUUUCGGUUUUACUCGAUUUCAGUAGCCAGGGACUGCAUUCAAACCCAGACGGUGAAUGAACACGGAUCCCUCUAGGACCGAGAGGAACUUUUCCCAUGGUUACAAACAAACAUAAAUGCUUCCCAGAAUCCUCCGAGCUCCUCGUGGCUGCGGUUACUACCGAUUGCGAUUGCGGAAUGCAACAAGGUGAGAGGAAAGCCAGGUCAGAAUUCGUGAAGUCCGGCUGGGACCACACCCGCAUACACACGUGCAAUGCACCGCCCGCGCGCACAUACAUACAUAUAUACAUACACACACAUACAUACACACAUACAUACACACAUGCAUGUGCAAUACGCAGCACGCGCGUGCACAUACAUGCAUACAUACACGAACACACGCACACUCGCGAUUCUGAAGUCCCCCUACGACAAAUGACAUUCCUUUCGUCGUUGGAAUUAUAUAUAUAUAAAUUUUAAAAAAAAAAUUUUUUUUUCGAGACAGGAUUUCUCUGUGUAGCCCUGGCUGUCCUGGAACUCUGUAGCCUCAGAAAUCCGCCUGCCUCUGCCUCCCGAGUGCUGAGAUUAAAGGCGUGUACCACCACCGCCCAGCCUUUAGUCCAUUUUUUAUAUUUACUUUUACCAUGUUUAAACCUGUUUGUAAAUAUAUAUGUUGAGUGUUGGGGAAUUUCUUUUUUAAUUCACAUAAAUGUAUAACACGGAAAUGUUCUCCAAAUUAUUGUCACUAGGCAUUCAUUACUCUUUGAAGCUCUCUCGGGGUUUUAAUUUCUACAUUCCCUUAAAUACAUAGCAUCAUACUUGUUUACCUGAGACGGACAUCUGGGUCUUUGAAUUGUUUACCAGUACAUAAGAUAUAUUCUCUGCAACUCUGCCUUUCACAUGUGUGCUGGGUCACUUGCUAAAUUAGCAGUUUACAUCCUCACCAACAUAUACGCCAAGACUAGAUAUGAUCAGACUUUUACAAUUUCUGUCACUAUGAAUCGGUGUGACUAUAGUUUACAUUUCUCUGGCUGAAUUCCUUCAUGUUCAUUAGACUGUGCCCUGUUGUGACCCACCCACUCUUUCAUAAAGUGUGCUACUCGGUCCCCUUCUCCUAGUGAUGUGCAGGUAGGUCUCCACAUAGCCUACUUAAUUCAUUUUACUGAUGUAUAUGUUGCAUCUUCUCCUAGCUUAGCAUUUGUCUUUAUUUAUAGGGGUUCUGCUCUCUCUAGCUGGUGAGUGUAGUGAAUUUGUCAACCUUUUAUUAUGGGUCUGAUACUUGUAUUUUAAGAAAUCCUUGCCUAUUCUGAGGUCAUUAAGGAUUUCCUCUUCAUACUUUAUAGUUUAGUUUUCAUUAUUUCUGUUACGUGGUAUCUUGAAUAUAAUGACACUAUUGACUUUUGUACCACACUCUUGUGCCCAAAACCCUUGCUGAAUUCGGUUACUGUUACACUUGGCCUGUGUGCUUGCUUCUUAGGAUUUCCCACUUAAAAGAGUCUUACGUUGUUCAGACAGUAACCCUUUAACAUUUAACAAAGACAAGUAUGGUGGAUCCCCAUGCUACUACCACCCCAGCCUCAACCAUUUGUCAUUCCUGUUUCAUCUAUCCUCCCUCCCAGAACCUUUAUGUUAAGAGUGCUUGCUAUUCUUGCAGAGGACCUGGGUUCAGUUCUCAGCUCCCACAUGACAGCACACAACCAUCUGUAACUCUAGUUCCAGGGGGCAGGACGCUCUUUUCUGCUCCAAGGGAUCCUCCACAUAUGUGGGGCACAUAAACUCAAACAAAUUUACACACAUACGCGUAAAAAUGAAAUUAUAAUGUCUAUCUAGAGUUGGCUUGUGCAAAUGAAGUUAGAUCAAUGCUGUUUAACUGACUUCCAUAGGCCCACUUCCCUUGGUGCCAGAUGUUGAAGAAACCUAAGUCUUGUCUGUAUAACUGCCUACUUUGUAAGUCUGCCAACUAUAGGGAUUUUUAAUUUGUUCCUAAAGCUACCAGUUUUACACUGGGGAGACUUAACUUUUAUUUUUGCAGAAUUCUUCACAAUUCUAAAUUCAAACCUGACUCCAAGGUCACUAUGAAAGUAUGUUCAUUAAAAGAGUAAAACCAUUUAUUGGUCAUGAAUAUGUAACCUGGAGAUAAUUGGUAAGCCUUAGUUUAUACUCUAGUGGUAACCUACCAAUCACUACUGGCUUG